rnacentral:misc_RNA from 1 species
UCCCCGUUACCGGGGCAGUCCAAGUAGAAAAAUACAACUACUUGCAAGGGUUGCGCUCGUUGAUGGACUUAACCAAACAUCUCACGACACGAGCUGACGACGGCCAUGCAUCACCUGUCUCUUGGUUUCUAAAAGACACUUUCUGCUUUCACAGAAAUUCCAAGGAUGUCAAACCCUGGUAAGGUUUAUCGUUUAUCCUCGAAUUAAAGAACACGCUCCACCGCUUGUGCGGGUCCCCGUCAAUUCCUUUAUGUUUUAGUCUUGCGACCGUACUCCACAGGCGGGAUACUUAACGCGUUAGCUUCGCUACCGAAGGGGUCGAUACCCCCGACAGCUAGUAUCCAGUGUUUACGGCGUGGACUAC